CUGGAUUUCUUCUUGCAUAGCUCCCUCUGAUCAUGUCUUCCUAGGAAAUGAAGGAAGAUAUAGCUUUGCUGAUAAGUUCAAUGGUAAUGAACAGUUUCCCAGGACAAUUGACACACUUCCACAAGGCUAAGAAAGAAAAGUGGUAUGAUGAUGAAAACAGAAUGUGAUGAGGGGGUGAAGAGAAGAAUACCUUGUCCACAUGAGCUUGAAGCUGGUGAGCAUCAAUCAAUUGAGGAAGUUUGUUGGCAAUUUCCAUCCAAGGCCUAUAAUGAUCUGGAAGUUCUUUCUGCAUUUAAAAUAGAAACAUGUAAAUAUUUUAGACCUCUCUGGAAAGGGGCUUCCGAGAGUAGCUAUUUUCACAUUUCAGUCUUCAGGGGAAUUCAAGUCAAUGCAGUUGAACGAACAUUGAGAAUGCACCAUAUGCUAGUUAGGCCCUGUGCUCACCUCAGAUACACAGAUGACUAAGGAGCAUAUUGCCUAGUACGGGAGAAAAACACAUUAGUCAGAUAUAUGCCAAUGCAGUAAAAUAUGUUUAAUUACUGAUAUCUGUGUGAGCCAAAUAACUUGCAAAGAAGAGGAAGUAGUUAAUUCUGUCAGCUGUUGUGAGGAAUUAAAGUGAAAUAUUCAUAAAAAUAUGACAGUUGAUCCCAAUUUUUGGAGGGGAAGUGACUUUUCUGGGUAUAAAUGUGAAGAAGGGAAGGUAGUAAAGGUAGAGGGGACAGCAGAUAAACAGAUGUAGGUGCUUCCUGGGACAAAGAUGACUCAGUGUUGCUAAAAUAUAAAACUCAAGAGAAAGUGAUAGAGGCAGGAGGCAGACAGAUGCCUAGGCAGAUAGGGAAGGGUCCCUGUGAAACCCACCUUCAAGCCUAAAACAGUCUAAAGGCUGAAAGGCCAGACUCCUGGUCCCAGAUGAAACCCGUGACCCAGAGGGAGAACUUCCCCUAUUGGCUCACCCUUUCCCGAUUGAUUCUUUCUGAAUAAUGCCUUUUAACCAAUCAAAUGUUGCCUUUUCUGAUACUACCUAUGGUUUGCUUGGGUGAAUAAUGCCUUUUAACCAAUCAAAUGUUGCCUUUUCUGAUACUACCUAUGGUUUGCUUGGGCACACCCACAUGCAUAGUAGGAAAACUGGUGGAACCACCAGGAAUUCAUGCCUUAUGCUGGGGAGGAGCCUAGCCUUUUCAGUUUGUGUGUGAAAGUCCUGGUGCUCCAUUGUGAGGUGGGAGACUGCUGGUGAAACCCCUCUCUUUGCAGAGAACUCCCCUUUUGCUUAAUAAAUUCCGUCAUCCUCACCCUUCACUAUGUCCACCUGCCUAAUUCUUCCUGGUCAUGAGACAAGAUCCUGGAUUUCGCUGAGCUGAGGAGCAGAAAAUCCUGCAUCAAAAGGAUGAUGAAAGAUGAGCCUAGAAAGUUACAUGAAAUGUGCUGUGUGUAGAAUAUAUGAAUUUUCCCUUUCUGUAAGUUGGUGACAUGGUUUGAUUUGAAUUUUAGGAAGAUAAAUUUGUAGGACUUUAAGAUAUAAAGUCAGAUAAGGAAGCCUUUAAAAUAUUGUUCAAGG
rnacentral:lncRNA from 10 species